rnacentral:misc_RNA from 1 species
GAUGAAGAACGCAGCGAAAUGCGAUAAGUAACGUGAAUUGCAGAAUUCAGUGAAUCAUCGAAUCUUUGAACGCACCUUGCGCUCCUUGGUAUUCCGAGGAGCAUGCCUGUUUGAGUGUCAUUAAUAUAUCAACCUCUUCAGCUUAUGCUUGUUGAGUGUUGGAUGGUGGGGGUUUGCUGGUGUCUUAUGAAGUCAGCUCCUCUGAAAUGCAUUAGCGGAACAAUUUGUUGACCGUUCAUUGGUGUGAUAAAAACAUCUACGCUAUUGACGUCAGUCAGUUCAGCUUCUAACAGUCCAUUGACUUGGACAAAUUUUUCAUUAAUGUGACCUCAAAUCAGGUAGGACUACCCGCUGAACUUAAGCAUAUCAAUAAGCGGAGGA